AAUGGGCGCAAGCCUGAUCCAGCCAUGCCGCGUGAGUGAUGAAGGCCCUAGGGUCGUAAAGCUCUUUCGCCUGUGAAGAUAAUGACGGUAGCAGGUAAAGAAACCCCGGCUAACUCCGUGCCAGCAGCCGCGGUAAUACGGAGGGGGUUAGCGUUGUUCGGAAUUACUGGGCGUAAAUCGCGCGUAGGCGGAUUAGUAAGUCAGAGGUGAAAUCCCGGGGCUCAACCCCGGAACUGCCUUUGAUACUGCUAGUCUUGAGUUCGAGAGAGGUAAGUGGAAUUCCGAGUGUAGAGGUGAAAUUCGUAGAUAUUCGGAGGAACACCAGUGGCGAAGGCGGCUUACUGGCUCGAUACUGACGCUGAGGUGCGAAAGUGUGGGGAGCAAACAGGAUU
rnacentral:rRNA from 1 species